GCCGAGUUGGGUAACGCUAGCUUGUGACCCUCGUGGGGGCAUUAAGGUGGUUGGACUAUGGGCCUACUCAUUGAGUUGGAGCUGUAGUGACUGUAUUCUGGCACGCCCAUUCCAAGCAAGGAGUUGGGCUACGAGUCUUGAGCGAAAGCUUUGGGUCUCGUUGCUCCUAGAGUGGAAGGCAAAGCGUGAGGCUGGUUUCACAGAGCAGCGAAAACUUCCCUCUCUUUGCGGUGGAAGGAUAACGGGCCGGUGUCACUUGGAUCCUUCAUGGCUCCUUGAGUCUUCUCUAAACGGACAACCACUUUU
rnacentral:SRP_RNA from 1 species